rnacentral:rRNA from 1 species
AGCGAACGCUGGCGGCAGGCCUAACACAUGCAAGUCGAACGAACCUUUCGGGGUUAGUGGCGGACGGGUGAGUAACACGUGGGAACGUGCCUUUAGGUUCGGAAUAACUCAGGGAAACUUGUGCUAAUACCGAAUGUGCCCUUCGGGGGAAAGAUUAAUCGCCUUUAGAGCGGCCCGCGUCUGAUUAGCUAGUUGGUUGAGGUAAUGGCUCACCAAGGCGACGAUCAGUAGCUGGUCUGAGAGGAUGAUCAGCCACAUUGGGACUGAGACACGGCCCAAACUCCUCCGGGAGGCGGCAGUGGGGAAUCUUGCGCAAUGGGCGAAAGCCUGACGCAGCCAUGCCGCGUGAAUGAUGAAGGUCUUAGGAUUGUAAAAUUCUUUCACCGGGGACGAUAAUGACGGUACCCGGAGAAGAAGCCCCGGCUAACUUCGUG